rnacentral:rRNA from 1 species
CAGUAAAUGUGGAGCCGUAGCGAAAGCGAGUCUGAAUAGGGCGUUUAGUAUUUGGUCGUAGACCCGAAACCAGGUGAUCUACCCUUGGUCAGGUUGAAGUUCAGGUAACACUGAAUGGAGGACCGAACCGACUUACGUUGAAAAGUGAGCGGAUGAACUGAGGGUAGCGGAGAAAUUCCAAUCGAACCUGGAGAUAGCUGGUUCUCUCCGAAAUAGCUUUAGGGCUAGCCUCAAGUGAUGAUUAUUGGAGGUAGAGCACUGUUUGGACGAGGGGCCCCUCUCGGGUUACCGAAUUCAGACAAACUCCGAAUGCCAAUUAAUUUAACUUGGGAGUCAGAACAUGGGUGAUAAGGUCCGUGUUCGAAAGGGAAACAGCCCAGACCACCAGCUAAGGUCCCAAAAUAUAUGUUAAGUGGAAAAGGAUGUGGCGUUGCCCAGACAACUAGGAUGUUGGCUUAGAAGCAGCCAUCAUUUAAAGAGUGCGUAAUAGCUCACUAGUCGAGUGACACUGCGCCGAAAAUGUACCGGGGCUAAACAUAUUACCGAAGCUGUGGAUUGUCCUUUGGACAAUGGUAGGAGAGCGUUCUAAGGGCGUUGAAGCAUGAUCGUAAGGACAUGUGGAGCGCUUAGAAGUGAGAAUGCCGGUGUGAGUAGCGAAAGACGGGUGAGAAUCCCGUCCACCGAUUGACUAAGGUUUCCAGAGGAAGGCUCGUCCGCUCUGGGUUAGUCGGGUCCUAAGCUGAGGCCGACAGGCGUAGGCGAUGGAUAACAGGUUGAUAUUCCUGUACCACCUAUAAUCGUUUUA